UACGUAGGAUCCAAGCGUUGUCCGGAUUUACUGGGUGUAAAGGGUGCGCAGGCGGGCUGGUAAGUCAGUAGUGAAAUCUCGGCGCUCAACGCCGAAACGUCUUUUGAUACUACCAGUCUUGAAUAAGCGAGAGAUCCGUGGAAUUCCGAGUGUAGCAGUGAAAUGUGUAGAUAUUCGGAAGAACACCAGAAGGCGAAGGCAGCGGGUUGGCGCUUUAUUGACGCUCAGGCACGAAAGCAUGGGGAUCAAACAGG
rnacentral:rRNA from 1 species